AGAUUGGUUGUCAUAUUUGUGUUGUAUGUGGUCUGAUGAUGCCAUUGAUGUAUGUGAUUUGCUGUUCUGGGCAUAAAAAAUUUCGAGUUGAUUUGAAGAUGAUGAAGUAUACUGUAGCGUUAAAACCCUAGGUGCCAUUCCAAUUUUCUGGGUUUUUCACGUAUCAUGCACGCCGUGUUACUGUUGUAUUGAAGCUGACCAAUCAG
rnacentral:lncRNA from 1 species